UGCCGCGUGUGUGAAGAAGGCCUUCGGGUUGUAAAGCACUUUUGUCCGGAAAGAAAUCCUUGGCUCUAAUACAGUCGGGGGAUGACGGUACCGGAAGAAUAAGCACCGGCUAACUACGUGCCAGCAGCCGCGGUAAUACGUAGGGUGCGAGCGUUAAUCGGAAUUACUGGGCGUAAAGCGUGCGCAGGCGGUUUGCUAAGACCGAUGUGAAAUCCCCGGGCUCAACCUGGGAACUGCAUUGGUGACUGGCAGGCUAGAGUAUGGCAGAGGGGGGUAGAAUUCCACGUGUAGCAGUGAAAUGCGUAGAGAUGUGGAGGAAUACCGAUGGCGAAGGCAGCCCCCUGGGCCAAUACUGACGCUCAUGCACGAAAGCGUGGGGAGCAAACAGGAUUAGAUACCCUGGUAGUCCACGCCCUAAACGAUGUCAACUAGUUGUUGGGGAUUCAUUUCCUUAGUAACGUAGCUAACGCGUGAAGUUGACCGCCUGGGGAGUACGGUCGCAAGAUUAAAACUCAAA
rnacentral:rRNA from 1 species